UACGUAGGUGGCAAGCGUUAUCUGGAAUUAUUGGGCGUAAAGAGCGCGCAGGUGGUUAAUUAAGUCUGAUGUGAAAGCCCACGGCUUAACCGUGGAGGGUCAUUGGAAACUGGUUGACUCGAGUGCAGAAGAGGGAAGUGGAAUUCCAUGUGUAGCGGUGAAAUGCGUAGAGAUAUGGAGGAACACCAGUGGCGAAGGCGGCUUCCUGGUCUGUAACUGACACUGAGGCGCGAAAGCGUGGGGAGCAAACAGG
rnacentral:rRNA from 1 species